rnacentral:lncRNA from 1 species
UUUUUUUUUUUUUUUUUUUUAAAGAUUUAUUUAUUUAUUUAUUUAUUAUAUGUAAGUACACUGUAGCUGUCCUCAGACACUCCAGAAGAGGGCGUCAGAUCUCGUUACAGAUGGUUGUGAGCCACCAUGUGGUUGCUGGGAUUUGAACUCCUGACCUUUGGAAGAGCAGUCGGGUGCUCUUACCCACUGAGCCAUCUCACCAGCCCUGAGUCCGGCUUCUUAACCUGGUAGUUGAUGCGAGAGUCUAGGGAAAGCUGCCAACAAGUAGAAGGUUUCUGAGUGCACAGCUGCCAAAACAAUCGUUGAAAGGCAAGCAGGCCGUGUGUGCCAGGCGCUUCCCGUAUUGCUUACCUGUGUUGCAUGGCUCCUGUGCAGCCUGGGUCCUGAGUUCACAGCGUGCACAUUUUGUGUUGUACGUUAGCAUCACACUACACAACACUGAAUGCUGUCUGCGACACUGCUGCUUGGAUUUGAGUCUGUGGUAUGUUUUUUUUUAAUUGAGGUGUUUUCUACGCACAUAGAAGCCUAAUGCUUUAAUUAUGGAAAACAGUGACUUCUAGUACUUCUACUGUGAUCCCUCAGCAUAUAAAUAUCAAGGUCUUACAACAUUGGAGUAUGCUAGAAUGUUUGAUCUUAAAAAUCACUGUUUGAAGGCACAUGCCUUUAAUCCCAGCACUUGGGAGGCAGGGGCAGGCAGAUCUCUGUGAUUUCCGGCCAGUCUACAGAGUGAGUUUCAGGACAGCCAGGGCAAUGCACAGGGAGAAAUCAUUGUUUGUGGUUGACCACAGUGGCAAAUGUGUGCACACCUGGAAUAGUAGCACUUGGGGUGCUGAGGCAGGAGGAUCAAGAGUUUAACGUCAUCCUCAGUUAAAUAGCAAGUUCAAGGCCAGCCUGAGCUAUAAGACAAACACACAGAUGUACACUUCUGCACUCCUCAUGCUAAUGUAAGUUAUCAGGCUGAGAAGCUGGUUCAGUGGGCUGAGGUUCCUGGCACUAAGCAUGACGACUUGAGUAUGACCCUCUGGUGGAAGGAGAGAACUGACCUCCACCCCCCAAGGUUCAGCUCAGACCUGCAGUUUGUGUACCAUGGUACUAAAUUAAUAAAUGAAAUAUUUUAAAAUGAAUACACAUGUUAACCAAGGCUGUAUUCUUUUCCUUUGGCUAUAGGAAAAUCUAUAGUUUCUAGCUUCUUGAGGCCACUUACAGUGCUUAGCUUUGUGCCUUACUAGUUUAUUUAUUGGUGUUUUAGACAAGGCCUUAUGUAACUGAGGAUGGCCUUAGAUUUCUUAUCCCCCGACUUCUACCUUUUAAAUACUGAGAUUACAGGUUGAGCACCGCCAUACUUGUCUUCUUGAACAUGCUCUUUGGAUUUCUUUCUUUCUUCCUGUAGAGCAAACCUUGCUUUCUUUCAAAGAUCCCUAUUUUGCACAAAAGUUAUGCUCUUUUACAUUCACUGUUUAUUCUGAUGCUCAAAUUGUUGUAGCUGUGGCUACUAGAAGUUCUCCAGUAUGGCACCAGUGUUGGGUGCUAUAUGUGCUCACUGCUACGAGCACAUUAACUGUAGGUCCUCUCCUUGAAUAGAGCUGUGUGUGAUCACUUCGCCCACAUACAUGUACAUAUGGUUAUGUAUGUAUGUAUACAUACAUGUCUUUUUAUCUCUUAGUUUUAGAAAUAGAAGUGCUAACUGAUUUAUCUUCUAAGAAAAUCCCUGCAGAUCUUUUAGAAAAUUAAAAGUAAAUAAAUAAACACUAACUCAGCAAAGUGUCUUGAGCCUUGCUACCCUCUUUGCUUGGCUUCCUGCCAUGGGAUACUGGCCAUUUUUUUAGCCACCUCCACAAAUACCACAACCCUUUGGGAUUUUUUUUUUCCAACUCAGAUUCCAGAAAUAAUUUUAAUUGUAGAAAUUGGACAUUGUAUCCUAAGAGAAGGAUGUUAAUAGUGAAACCUUUUACAAGAUGAUUGAUGAAACCCUGUCUCAAAAAAUGAAGAUGUGGGGGAGGGAGGCAGAGGGGGAGGGAGAUGGUUUGGGGAGGGGUAGGAUCACAGUGUAUAGGCAUACAUUUCUUACAACCUUUAAUAAGGGGUCAGCCUCUCCCCAGCCCACCACCCAGCAGAGGUAGUGGAAGAGAACAGUUAUUAGGAUGUGGGGGAAGUGCACCUGUUCAGCAAUAGUUCUUUGUGGGUGAGCUUGAUCUUCUUGGACAGCAGUUCAGUCCCAGAGCAAACACCAAAUACAACUCUGGACUGUAACUGCAGACACCAGGCACGAGCCUGCAGUUACAGUCCAGUCCUUUCAGCAAGCAGACACCAGGCAGCUGCAGUUCAUUCUUGAAGAAACCAUCAGGCUCACCAAGUGGCGAGGCCAUGAAUGGGCAAGCUGCCACAGGAACUUCAGGAGAAGUUCUUUGGCGAGUUCCUCUCAGUGGCGGAGUUAGCAAAAGUUGAGCUCAACAACGCUAUGUAAGGUGAACAAACACCUGUUUGCUGUUAGCAAAGAAUAAUUAGGUGGAGCAAACCAAACCAAGGCUCAGUGCUCAUCUCCCACUCUCUGUAGGGUCAUAUUUAUAUUCCUUUAUCAAGCAUCUGUCCUUUCAAGUGUCUGCUAUAUCCUUUCACCUGUGUCUGCUUCAGAAAGACAGUCUUCCACAUGUCUGCUUUUGCAAGACACACCUUCACCUGUGUGCCCCAGUAAAACCUCAUUUAACAUAACUGACUUUCCAAAGAACCGUAGUUUCCACUUCAACAGUAAUGGAGAAAUUCCCAAAUCACCUUGGCCUUUCUUCACAGUUCAUUCAAAGAAAAUGACAUUAGGUCCAUUUAUGAAUGUUUGC